AAAUAUUGACUGGAGGUGAACUGGUAAGUAAAUGGCAAUAUCUAGGCCAAGGUAGCUGAUUUUAAAAAAAAGCGUUGAAUUAGAGAAUUUUUCCACUUUUCCUAUUUUGGCCUAGAUUUUGCAAUUUCACUUUAAAAAAAAAAAAAACCAAUUCACUUUGUACACUAGAGACUGUACACAAGAGACUGGAUUCUUUACUGUAGAGGGGAAUAGGAGCUGAAACAUGGUAUGGAGCUGUAUAGUAGGGGAUAUAGGAGCUGUAGUCGAGGUGGAUAGAGGCUGUAGUGUAGAGAGGGAAAGGGCUAAAGUGUAAGGGGAUAGAGACUGUAGAGGGGAAUGAAGGAUAAGAAAAGGUUUGUGGGUUCUUCAAAACAUUCCCUGCUCUGGUUUAGAAGAAUAGAGGGGUAUGGGUGAGGGUGUGGGGUGUGUGGGGUGUAUUUUAAGGAGAUAAACCAACUCCACUACAAUCUCCCAAGAGUUGAAAGCUCUUCAGAUCUCCUCAGUUGAUGCCAAUGAGCUGAUGAUAAUGAAGACAGUGGAGGGUUUGAGUUGCUACCCCAUGACGCCAGAAUAGUUAAAUUGAUUGAUUGAAGCUGUAAAAUAAGUGUGUGUGUGUGUGUGUGGGAGGAGGGUAACAAGGUGAGUGAGCUGUAAACUAAUUAAUCUUUUUUUUUAUUUUCUGCUGCAGAGGAAGCUCUAGAUUCAGUGAGGCCUUGGCAAGCUGAAAUUUAAGAUCUUAUAAUCUUAUCACACCUGUACCUCCAUGCCUAGUCAUCCUUUCAUCAACUCCUGCCCCUCAAUGCCAAUCAAUCACAGAACUGUAAUCACCUUCUCAUUCUUACCC